GUCCAAGGAUGGGAAUCGAACCCACAAUGUUCCGCUUACCGGGCAGAUGCCAUGUCCACUAGGCUACCCUGGA